UAAAAGUAUGACUUGUCCAGGUUUCAUAGCUACUUCGCCUGGACAAAAGUCAAAGUCCAAAAGCCACCAGAGAAGAAAAGUAACCAGCUCUGCUCCUUGCUUGUAUAUUCUGAGGAAGUGGGUCCCUCCUCACACAGCUCUGCCAUGACUGGGACACAAUGAACAUUGAAAGAAUCCAGAGAGUGCUCCUCUCCCAUGGAACGAACAACCAUCCUACAAUCCCAGGACAGCAGGCAAUGGAUGCCCAGAUACUUGUGGUUGUAUGUGAGAGAAAGCAGCAAAGAACUGCCAGAAGUACUUCUACUUACAGAUAAGUAAUUUAUUGAACUACAGGAGGAAACUUGCUUAUAGAUUUGAAAACAAAAUCAAGCAAUAAUUAAAACAACAACAACAACAAAAAAAAACACACUAUCAGAAUACAGCUAAAUGCUUUGACAGUCUGCCGUCCCAGCAGCGUGGCACUGGUAGAGAGCUCACCCCAAACCUCUUCCAUGGAAGAAUUAGGGCCUUUGUAAGCUGAAGUAACAAAUCAGUACCUUUUCUGGGCCAACCUCAAGAGUUCUCACUGUGUUUAAUACAAAAUUUUCAAAAAGAGAUAGGUCUCAAGAAACAAAGGCAUGUUUUUACUGGUAUUAAAGGAACAUAUUUACUCCAGCUCCAAAAACACCCCAGCCCAGAAGAAAAACAACCCUAACCUCAACAACAGAAAACCAAGCUUUCUGCUGUGGCAUUUGACUGACAUUUGAUAUCUCUGCCUGAGGUUUGGCAGGCCUGUGGUGGUGAUCAGGGCUGAAGGAGGGAACAGCAUCAUUGGAAAUGUACAACUGGCAAAAACCAACAGACUGCAAAACCAAAAAGCUCCCUCACAAAAGCCCAAGAUCCCCAAGAGGAGCCCUGCAAGAUAAUUUCAGGAAUGGAUAAAAUAAAAUCAGCACCGCUUUGCGUCA
rnacentral:lncRNA from 1 species